rnacentral:rRNA from 1 species
AUUGAACGCUGGCGGCAUGCCUUACACAUGCAAGUCGAACGGCAGCAUGAUCUCGCUUGCUAGAUUGAUGGCGAGUGGCGCACGGGUGAGUCAUACAUCGGAACGUGCUCUGUAGUGGGGGAUAACUAGUCGAAAGAUUAGCUAAUACCGCAUACGACCUGAGGGUGAAAGUGGGGGACCGCAAGGCCUCAUGCUAUAGGAGCGGCCGAUGUCUGGUUAGCUAGUUGGUGGGGUAAAGGGCCACCAAGGCGCCGAUCAGUAGCUGGUCUGAGAGGACGAUCAGCCACACUGGGACUGGGACACGGCCCAGACUCCUACGGGAGGCAGCAGUGGGGAAUUUUGGACAAUGGGGGCAACCCUGAUCCAGCAAUGCCGCGUGUGUGAAGAAGGCCUUCGGGUUGUAAAGCACUUUUGUCCGGAAAGAAAUCGCACUUACUAAUAUUAGGUGUGGAUGACGGUACCGGAAGAAUAAGGACCGGCAAACUACGU